rnacentral:lncRNA from 1 species
CUUCUCAUACAGGCUCAAGCCCUAGAUAGUAGCUCACAGAGGUACAAGCAAAUAUCUGCUACCUGGAAUGAAGAACUGAUGAAUGAAGGUUUAUCUACCAUCUUGGAUUUUAAACCAUCAUGUUUUGGAAAACAGAGAAAAAAGAAGCAAAAGGACAAAAACCACUGCUAAGUUUAUGAGUCUUGUGGAACCACCAUAUACUCAAUGUCUGCUUGUACUUUGGCUUCUUUAUGUCACUCAUAAGGGAUCUUCCUGACUCAGGAAUCGAACCUGGGUCUCCUGCAUUCCAGGCAGACGCUUUAACCUCUGAGCCACCAGGGAAGCCUAUAUAUAUACAUAUAUACAUAUAUACAGAUAUACAGAUAUACAGAUAUACAUAUAUACAGAUAUACAUAUAUACAUAUAUACAUAUAUACAUCAUAUAUACAUAUAUACAUAUACAUAUGUAUAUAUCCCCUCUUUUUUGA